rnacentral:rRNA from 1 species
GACGAACGCUGGCGGCGUGCCUAAUACAUGCAAGUCGAACGCUUCUUUUUCCACCGGAGCUUGCUCCACCGGAAAAAGAAGAGUGGCGAACGGGUGAGUAACACGUGGGUAACCUGCCCAUCAGAAGGGGAUAACACUUGGAAACAGGUGCUAAUACCGUAUAACAAUCAAAACCGCAUGGUUUUGAUUUGAAAGGCGCUUUCGGGUGUCGCUGAUGGAUGGACCCGCGGUGCAUUAGCUAGUUGGUGAGGUAACGGCUCACCAAGGCCACGAUGCAUAGCCGACCUGAGAGGGUGAUCGGCCACAUUGGGACUGAGACACGGCCCAAACUCCUACGGGAGGCAGCAGUAGGGAAUCUUCGGCAAUGGACGAAAGUCUGACCGAGCAACGCCGCGUGAGUGAAGAAGGUUUUCGGAUCGUAAAACUCUGUUGUUAGAGAAGAACAAGGAUGAGAGUAACUGUUCAUCCCUUGACGGUAUCUAACCAGAAAGCCACGGCUAACUACGUGCCAGCAGCCGCGGUAAUACGUAGGUGGCAAGCGUUGUCCGGAUUUAUUGGGCGUAAAGCGAGCGCAGGCGGUUUCUUAAGUCUGAUGUGAAAGCCCCCGGCUCAACCGGGGAGGGUCAUUGGAAACUGGGAGACUUGAGUGCAGAAGAGGAGAGUGGAAUUCCAUGUGUAGCGGUGAAAUGCGUAGAUAUAUGGAGGAACACCAGUGG